CACCAUUCUAUUAUUACAUCUGUGGGUAGGGGCAGGGUCUCACCUGAAUGGUGAAGUGGCCGCAAGGAAGUGUGUCUUCCAACCAGGAGGUGGAAAGGAAGGAGAAGCCCAGGCACUGAGGCUUUCUACUCAUGGCAUUGACCUUGAUGGAAUCCAGGGUUUCCCAGCUGAGCUCCUGCACUGGGAAUUCACAGACCCGCAUCCUUCACGUUGAAGCAGGCUUCUGGCUGGGAAGUAUAACAUCAAGAGGAGGUCAUUGCCUACAAGGACUCACAGACAGGGUCCAAGGACACAGUCAUGGUGAAAAUGUCAAAGUUGCCUCACUUGGACCACACUGGGAAGAGGGCUUGACUCCUGAACUGAGAUGGUCUGGGCCCACCAGCUGUGACACCAGUGGUCCCAGUUGCAAGGAGCUGAGAUGACUCGGGGGAGGAGCUAAAGAACAGGACUCAUGACACCAAUACCAGCCCCUCACCCUGCUCUCUGGUGGCACAUCAUUUAUACCUCUGUUAAAUCCCUCACCUUGGGUUUGCACUGUAUAGAGGACUGACUGUGUCCUCCACUACCAACAUGUGACCUCUGCAGACAAGAACAUGUAAUGCAUUUAUCCCUUUGUUCUCACAGCACCCACAACUCUGCUUUAAUAGAUUUGCUCAAUAAAUAUUAGAUGAAGUAAAUGUCUCCUUUCUAA
rnacentral:lncRNA from 12 species